GAUGAACGCUGGCGGCGUACCUAAUACAUGCAAGUCGAGCGAACAGAUGAGGAGCUUGCUCCUCUGACGUUAGCGGCGGACGGGUGAGUAACACGUGGAUAACCUACCUAUAAGACUGGGAUAACUUCGGGAAACCGGAGCUAAUACCGGAUAAUAUAUUGAACCGCAUGGUUCAAUAGUGAAAGACGGUUUUGCUGUCACUUAUAGAUGGAUCCGCGCCGCAUUAGCUAGUUGGUAAGGUAACGGCUUACCAAGGCAACGAUGCGUAGCCGACCUGAGAGGGUGAUCGGCCACACUGGAACUGAGACACGGACCAGACUCCUACGGGAGGCAGCAGUAGGGAAUCUUCCGCAAUGGGCGAAAGCCUGACGGAGCAACGCCGCGUGAGUGAUGAAGGUCUUCGGAUCGUAAAACUCUGUUAUUAGGGAAGAACAAAUGUGUAAGUAACUAUGCACGUCUUGACGGUACCUAAUCAGAAAGCCACGGCUAACUACGUG
rnacentral:rRNA from 1 species